AUUGAACGCUGGCGGCAUGCCUUACACAUGCAAGUCGAACGGCAGCACGGGAGCAAUCCUGGUGGCGAGUGGCGAACGGGUGAGUAAUACAUCGGAACGUGCCCAGUAGUGGGGGAUAACCCGGCGAAAGCCGGACUAAUACCGCGUACGACCUACGGGUGAAAGCAGGGGAUCUCAUGGCAACAUGCGACCUUGCGCUAUCGGAGCGGCCGAUGUCAGUANAGUCUAGUUGGUGGGGUAAAAGCCUACCAAGGCGACGAUC
rnacentral:rRNA from 1 species